GGGAGCUUAAGUUUAUUUAGUUUAGUUCUAUCGUUCGCAAGUCACGAAGCAUUAACACUCAUUUAACAUUGUCACACCUAAACUCACACCUAACGGAGCACAAUCGGAACCACAAAGAAGGGAAAAGUUGGAGUGGAAAGUGGAUACGUAGAUCGACAGAUAAAUACAAAAGCGGUUGGCGUGGAAGCGGAGGAUUGAUUAAAUCUCUAGGGCUAUCAAUAUUUUAUCAUCCAAAAACGUUGAAGAAUUUUGAAAAUCAAAAAUUAAUGCAACUUGCGAAACAAAAAUCGAUGUAAGCAUAAACGAAGAGGGAAGACGCCAACCAAAAAUUGAAGUAUCCCCAUUCGUAUGCAUCCCCAUCCUGUGCAUCUCAGCCAUAUUGAAACGGUGAGGGAAGUCUCUCAAGGAGGGGCAGAGUUGGAAGUAGAGCAGGUACAAAGUCGUUAGCACUUUGCCUGGUGUGAAGUUACCCAAGUCAACGAGGGCCAGCCCAGUCGCAGAUCUCCAUCUCCAGCCAGCCAGCCUUGUUACACGGCAGACCGGACAGCCAGAAGCCAGACGUUUAACACAGCCAACAAGUGAACGAACAAAAGAGCAUAAAGCGGUCCAGUGCUGAUCGUUGAGCUUAUUUUUCACCAACUUCAGUGGAUACCCAGCUCGAUUCUCAGUUUGGUAAGUACUUUAGUAUUUAUAUAAAAAUUACCUAUUCCCUUAAUCAAAAACACUUAUCGGCAUCAGGUUCCGAAACCAGGUUUCAAUAGGUCAAGUUGUGGUCAAGUUGUGCUAGACAAUAUACAAUCCAAUAUGCAUAUCUAGGAAGUGAUUUCUUAUGGCGCAUAAAAUAUUUUAACAAGUUUCUUAUAGUGGGGUUCCCAUUAAGUGCCUGCUAGAAAACUGGCAGCACUGCAAACUGGACAAGCGAUCGUUCGAGCGUUGUCUGUCCAUCACAUCACGUAUGAAUGGGUUGCUUCGAGAUCCGGGGACAGGGCAUACGACGAUGAUGGGCCAGAAAACAAGUUAAGCUGUCUUAAUAAGAUCAAACACGGCGAUUAUGAGGAAUUACUUGGAGAUAAUGACAUCGGCCAGCGACUCAAAAGACACUCGAUGGUUGUGCUCUCAGCUCUGGAAGUUGAGAGAUCGGAGAUCGGAGAUCAGCACAACUCUAAAUCCUCUGCAAACCGGCAUGGGAAACGAUUUCGUUAAGUGAACUAAUUGCUACAUCUGGAUUCCCAGGGCUCCCACGUACAUAUGCACUUACUUGUAUAUCCGAUACAUAAUUUAAUCAGUGGUUCAAGGAUCGUAGGCGGAAGUACUGUCUUUGGCAUAAAACAACGCAAUACGACUAUAGUACACAAAUGGGAAUGUUAUAUGGCAUCGAGAUUGGAGCCUAAAUCGGGAUUGCUGUGGGGAUCUCGGGAUCGGGAGCGGGCCAGACCUCAAUUUCCUACAAAUAUAGCGUUGUUCACGCUUUGUUUUGAAAUUAUUUUUAUUUUGUGUUAACUAAUGGUCGACCGAUAAGCAAGCACAUGAUGGCGAUAGUCGGCUGUGGCGCAUAGAUAAUCCCACUCAUGGUCAAUCUAAGUUCGAAUCGAAAUGGGAAUUUCUAAAUAAACAGCGCUACCAAGUCGAGGUGUACGGGAAAGCUUAGUCAGCGUUGGGUAUUGAUAGGACUGCAUUGAGACCUACCAAAAUGUUAACUAAACCUCAAGAUGCAUUUUAAAAACCCCUUACGCAAAUCUUUCUUGUUCUCAGCGUAGUUGUCAUCGAUAAAAGAUCAGGUGCGGCAAGAGAAAAAGAGGUGAGGAUGAGCCGUCUGGAGGGGCAGCAUCAUUAUCAAACUCCAUAUCAGGUCUAUGGAAUGAAGAUGAAACCUUGUUGUUGCUGUCGUCAACGAUAUAAUUGCUUCAACUUGAGAAAAAGGGACAGAUUAACAUUUUAGCGUGAAACGGGCGACAAGACAACAAGAGGGGAAAGAAGGAGAGAGGGAGAUGGUGAAGGUAAUGGAGGAGUAGGACGAGGAGGAGGAGUAGGAAAGAAAGAGAGGGAGGAGGAGCAGUAGCAAUCAAAGUAGGAACAGCAGCAACAACAAUUUGUUAGCUCUUUACGAUUAUUGCCUUUCUCACACCUUAUUACCAAGAAAAUAAAGAAGCAGCAUCCACAGGGCAACAACAAAUACGCGACGAUGAGACGUGAAAAUAAAAAAAAAACACACACACACAUGCCCAAGGCACAACAAAAGGCAACAACAACGGCAACAUAGCCGAGAACAAGAUGCUGCCCCUUGGAGUGGACUGGACUGGAGUGGACUGGGAUGGUAUUGAGACUGGAAAAGGGAGUCGGGCAGAGGAGUGAGGGACUGGAAAUCGCACACUCACAGUCACUCUCUCACACCCAUAAACGCUGUACUGCAAGUGCAAGUGAGAGUUAAGAGAGUUAAAAAACAAUCUCUACAAAAUAUUUAUAUAUACUUACAUAUUACAUCUAUUAUAGUAACUAAACUACCUGAAGAUUAUAAAUCACCUAAUCAGUUUCCUAAAUGUAUGAUAGAAAAUGUCAUGAAUCUGGUAGCUAGAUGGUUUAAUCACAAGAAUUUAUGCCAAGAGACGCAUCAAAGAUAUACCAAGUUUAUUAAUAUUUUGUAUGUGUAUACUAUAUAAGGCGAUAACUUGUUGGUUUAAAACGUAGAGGUCAUCGGCUAAAAGGAUUUCAAAUGAAAGAGCGAGCCAAAGGAUGAGCGACAGGGACAAUUAUAUAGUGGCAAGAAAGAGGGAGAGUUACUUUCCCAGCUACCGAUUUAGACGAUGUCCAGUGCUCAACAGCAAAAACAACAACAAGUGGCACUUGCGGCUCUGUUUGUUUAAUGAAACAACAGUCGCACACACACCCAAACACCCAAACACACACGCACACAAACACACCAACACGAUCGAGUCUGUGUGAAACACCAACAAAAACACCUUCGGCAAAUAAAGCAGACAUUGCGGCAACAGUCGACUUGGCGAUACUCUGCACCCCUCUAACCUUGGCCAAUAGGAGGCCAACUCGGUAAGCAGUUCUCGGGCAUCGAAUCUUUGGUAAACUCCCGAACCUACUUAACAGCAAUUUACCACUUACUCCUGCUGAUUUGAUAAAAGUUUUUAUACAAAGAUUAUAGAUCACUUUUAAGAAAACACAGGUUUUUUUUUCGCUGUGCAGGUCACCGUGUGACACCUGACAUAGAGAGACAGAGAGAGAGAAAGAAAAAACUAGAGAGUGAUGGGCUAUUCGUACAUCUCUAGACUGGCGCAACCCAUUAAUCCUGGCUGCUACUCCUACUGAUGAUAACGAUCACCAAUUGAGUGGCAGAAGAGGGUGGGAGGUGGCGGGAGAGAAGCAAGAACAGAAGGAGGAGAGCCAGACAACGGGCGGAUAACAACGCCUGUCUCCAAGUGGGCUCAAGUGCUACAGGAGGUGGAGGAGGAUGAGGAGCAGGAGAAGGGGCAGCGAGACACGCAGGCUGUGGAGAAGAUGGACGGACGACCGGCAGCAUCAGCAGCAAAGCCAAAAGCAGAAGCCGAAGCUACUUGAGAGCCACAGAGUUCCAAUUCCAAAGAGGCGAUCGUGUGUCUAUAUGCAUGCUGAAGUGGCAGGCAACGCGGAGUUGCACAGCCACCAUUCCACUCCAUUACCAGUUCGCAGAUCGCCGCUUCCAGCAUCCAACAUCCAACAUCCAGCUCCAAGGAGCUGGCAAUCAAAUGGCCAACGUUGUACAAUGACUUUCACGCCUUUCGAGCGCGCCAAAACGGACAAUUCAAGUACAGGCGGCCAAGAGGCAAACCCAGAUACCCUACCUAACUAAAUAGAUUUAGGCUUGUUCAUUUGAGUGUUAGCCACAUAAACAUGUCGGAAUUGUGAUAUUUGUAUUAUUAUUAUUUCCAGAAUGUAUGCUUUUUGCUUUUCUUUUUGAUUGCAAGACAUUUACUAGAGUUUUUAUUGUAUCAUCCUCAGAACUAAAAUUUUGCAUCGAAAAUCAAGAUAAUAUCUUAAUUUUUUUAAACAUUUACGAAUAUUAAAUCGGGAUUGGCUGAUCUGAUUUGUGUGAAUAUUUUUGUGUUAUCAAUGAUCGGCCUCUCGUUUUCAAUUUCCGUUACGAUCAAUCAGCACUUAAGACUUCAAUCUAAACUUCAACUCUCGAUCGAGGAGGGGAAGAGAUAUUAAUGUAAGUUUAACGGACAACCGUCCCAUUGAUAUGGCAAAAAAGUGUUUAUAGUUUAGUUACGUCUUAUCGCUAAAUUACGGUUGGGUGCGAUUAACUCUGGAUGUCUGGUAAUAUUCACAACAAUCACAAAGUUAAGAUCACAGGUUAGUUUUCAAUUUAAAAUUUGCACACUUUACGUACUCGUUGG